AGGAGUCAGAUGGGCUAGUGCAUUCAUUUCCAUAAUCUGGACUCAGUGACUGUUCAAGGCUUUACUCAAUACCCGAGUGUACAUUUCCAGUUACUAUUUACAAUGAUUUAUGUGUAACCUAAAUUUCAUAUUGUUACACUUUUUCGUCACUAGUCAGAUAGAAUUAGACACAUCUCUGGAGAAGAAAAAAAUCUUUGUAACGUUCAAGACAAAAUUAAUGAAAAGGAUCAAGUAACUAAUACAACUAUAUGCUUGUAGUACAGAUGUAAAUUUUUUGGAAAUGUUUCAAACUGAAGCAACACUUCAAAGCUUUCCGAUAAUAUAUUAAACCAGGAGACGUAUUAGCUACAAUUUGAUUUUAAGAUGACACUGGACAUUCUUAGUUGUUUAUUACUCAAUGAAUAGUUAGUUUAUAGCAUAAGUUAUUGUGACCCUAUUCAUCUGUUAUAAUGAUAGUUACUUCAUUUUUUUAAAAAUGCAUUGAUAUUUGUUUAUGAUCAAUGAUUCAGAAAAACAAGUGUUUGUUUGUUUGUUUUCUUUAGAAAAUGUAAUACCAAGAGUGAAGGUCUUUGAAAUAGAAAUCUAUGGAUUUUCUUUUCUUUAUGGAGUAAAAUGGUAUUUCAUGUAUAUGUUGUAUCAAACAUGUAAAUACAAGAAAUAAAUUACAUAUCAUCAAUUA